CGUACACUCCUGCGGGAGGCAGCAGUGAGGAAUAUUGGACAAUGGGUGGAAGCCUGAUCCAGCCAUCCCGCGUGCAGGAAGACGGCCCUAUGGGUUGUAAACUGCUUUUAUCUGGGGAUAAACCUACUUACGUGUAAGUAGCUGAAGGUACCAGAAGAAUAAGCACCGGCUAACUCCGUGCCAGCAGCCGCGGUAAUACGGAGGGUGCAAGCGUUAUCCGGAUUUAUUGGGUUUAAAGGGUCCGUAGGCGGACUGAUAAGUCAGUGGUGAAAUCCGACAGCUUAACUGUCGAACUGCCAUUGAUACUGUUAGUCUUGAGUAAGGUUGAAGUGGCUGGAAUAAGUAGUGUAGCGGUGAAAUGCAUAGAUAUUACUUAGAACACCAAUUGCGAAGGCAGGUCACUAAGUCUUAACUGACGCUGAUGGACGAAAGCGUGGGGAGCGAACAGGAUUAGAAACCCCGGUAGUCCCAUGAU
rnacentral:rRNA from 1 species